UUAUCACAAAAUGUAGCUGAUUCCUGCAGCUUUUUUCAUUUGACGGAUAGACUAGUUGUUUAUCAUACACCCAUAUAUAUAUAUACACCACAGGGCAUGCUAUUCUCAUAUAGCCAAAGCCUCAGACAGUAGAUCAUAUCACUACAUUUCAGCAGCUUAAUUAGACUUCAGAAUGUCAAAAUGACAAAAGGACAAGUGGCUGUAAUAGGCUUGGGACUUCGGAUAUUCGGAUCGGGUUCGGGUAAGAUCCAUUCGGAUCUGGGUCUUUCGGAUAAAUGAAUUCUCUACCCAAUAGGUACUUGGUAGAUUUUGGUUCGUGUUUCGGGUCGGAUACCACCGGUUUUGGGUCGGUUCCGGGUACCCGUUUAUUAUGUGAAUCAUAUAUAUAUUUACAAAAUAAAAUAAUUUACCAAAUAAAAUUUAUUUUUAAAUAUUUUUUAGAUAAAAUGAAUCGGAAUCGUAUAUAUAUUAAUAAUAUGUAGAUAAGUACAACAAAGUUUAAGUAGCAUAGUGGUAUUACACAUGAUACUCCGCCUAUCCAACCCUGGUUCGUUCCACGGGAGAUACAAAUCUGUGUUUUUUAAGCACAGACUUCGGUUUAAUCAGGUACCCGAUCGGUUCCGGGUAAAAACCGAAACCGACCCGAUACCCAUGGAUAAUCAGCACUAAUACCCAUCGGAUAAAUCGACUAAAACCGAAACCGAACCGGUCCAUUUCGGAUCGGAUCCGGUUCGGAUAAACGGUUUCGGUUAAAAGUGAACUUUAGGUAGUGUUAUUAACAGCAUACAGCAGGGCUGGGACAGCAAGAAGCACAUUGUUUCGAGCUUGCCUGCAAAAUAGACUCACGUUAAUGUGAUUUUUUUUAAUAUUAUUUCAUUCAUGUUUCUUCUUCCCAAAAGUACCUUUACAACAAGUCUGAAAAUGAAAAAAAGAAGAAGAAGAUGAAAGAUGAUACAGGAUUUACCGAUUUAGUGUUUUCAUGAUAAGCACCUCUCUCUCUCAGACGGUCAUCUCGACAUAGGCCAUUAUCGUUCACUUGGCAGAGAGAGAAAGAGAGACAGAGAGAGAGCACAUGGAAUUGAUUGAUGUUACACAAGCUGCCAUUGGAAGAACAAUUGAGGAAGCUUUGAUUGCAAGAGAGACUUUGAAUGUUCAGCUGAGCCAAAGGGAGCUUGACUUUGUAAGAGCGUCGAUGAGGGUACUUCAAGAGGAGGUUUGUGCUUGAAUCAUUAUCUCUUUAUGUCGGUUAUAAUCUUAUUUUAAAUAUGGCAGCGUAAAUGUGUUCAUCUAUUGUUUGUUACUAGGUAAACUCGAUAAAGACAUCUCAGAUGUCUAGGAACAUUUUUAGUAGCUUGAAGGCUUCAACCUCAACCUCAGACACUACAUGUUCACUUCCUGGGUGUGAUCCUUCACCAGCAUGAAGAUGCAUAUACAGGCUAUGAGAUCUUCCACUCUGACCUGCAGACUCUAAUUAAAGAGGAAGGCCUUGUUGCAGUUAGGUUUCCUUGUUAUGAUAGCUACUGGGAACGCGAAGGAAAGAGUAUUUUCUUCCCUACAGAAGAAGAAAUGAGUUCUCCUCGUCUCACAGAGGGACAUGUAACUCUUGUCUCAGGAAGCUCUCGCGAUGAGGAAGGAAACCUAUAUUAUCAAUGCCAGGAAUCGUUCGGCACUCAAUUUGGCGUUGAGGGCUAUACCAGAAUCUACGCCAAUUUGAUAAUGGCCUAUGUCGAGAUGACCGUAUGAGAGAGAGAGAGAGGUGCUUAUCCUUUUCUUUGAGAGAGAUGAUCAAAUAAUUUUGUCCUUUGUUAGAUAUCUCAGUUGUGUGGAUCAGAAUCUUUCACUAUUUUUGUCUUUUGUUAAGCUUGAGUAGACUAAAAAAAAAAAAAAACUUCAACUGAUGUCAAAAAGUCACAUUUUAUAAGAAUAUGAACAUGAGGAAAACAUUAUAAGUAUUUUUUACAAUAAUCAUAAUUCAACAUACAUAUUUUAGUUAGAUACAUAGAAAAUGUCCACAUUUCCUUUUACCUUCAAAAUUAGGCUUAAGAGUUAUUUAGCUAUGUCUCAACUAUACAUCAAACUAAAUAUUUUAAAUUUGAUGAUAAAUCAUCAUAACUUCUCUAAUUAACCUCAAAUUAUCUAACGCUUCAUUAAAACUUAAAUUCUUUCUAAGUAUUCACUCUUUGAUUCUAAAUUAUAAUGAUUUUAGUUAUUUUGGACAUAUAAUAUGUUUGGCCUUAGAAACUUUGUGCUUUGUUUGUACAUGAAGUUUUGUUCAUUCAUCAUACUAUUAAAUUAGAUAAAAUCGAUCAAAUUCAAAACAUGAAAUUGCAAUAGAGCUAAUGCUCAUUUCUAUCCAUAAUUACUUAUUUGAAAUGUGAUGAGUACAUUAAAUUCCACAAGUGACUACAAUAAGCUCUUCUCUUUAAAGACUGAAUUGAGAUGAUUCAUACAAAGCAUCAACUCUCUCUCUUUUUUUUUGUGCAUAUAAAAAUAGUGAAUUUAAUAUGUAGCAUUAGUUGAUUGAUAUUGCCAAUCUCUUUUUUGUUCGUUAAAUUUAUUGGCUAGCUCAUACACAUCGAUCAAAUUCAAAACAUGAAAUUGCAAUAGAGUUAAUGCUCAUUUCUAUCCAUAAUUACUUAUUUGAAAUGUGAUGAUUAGAUUGAAUUCCACAAGUGAUUACAAUAAGCUCUUUUCUUUAAAGACUGACAUGAGAUGAUUAAAGCAUCAACUCUCUCUGUCUCUUUUUUUGUGCACAUACAAAUAGUGAAUUUAAAUUAGAUAAAAUUGAUCAAAUUCAAAACAUGAAAUUGCAAUAGAGCUAAUGCUCAUUUCUAUCCAUAAUUACUUAUUUGAAAUGUGAUGAUUAGAUUGAAUUUUACAAGUGAUUACAAUAAGCUAUUCUCUUUAAAGACUGAAUUGAGAUGAUUCAUACAAAGCAUCACAUCUCUCUCUCUUUUUUUUGUGCAUAUACAAAUAAUGAAUUUAAUAUGUAGCAUUAGUUGAUUGAAAUUGCCAAUCUCUUUUUUUGGUCGUUAAAUUUAUGAGCUACGCAUCAAUCAAAUUCAAAACAUGUAAUUGCAUAGAGCUAACGCUCAUUUCUAUCCAUAAUUACUUAUUUGAAAUGUGAUGGCCAGAUUGAAUUCCACAAGUGAUUACAAUAAGCUCUUCUCUUCAAAGAUUGAAUUGAAAUGAUUCAUACAAAGCAUCAACUCUCUCUCUCUUUCUCUUUUUGUGCAUAUACAAAUAGUGAAUUUAAUGUGUAGCAUUAUUUGAUUGAUAUUGACAAUCUCUUUUUGGUCGUUAAAUUUAUUGGCUAGCUCAUACACAUCUUUCCAAUCUCUCUGAAGAAUAUAAAUUAAAUUGUUGAAUAUUCAAAUGUUUGUAAAUAGAAAGAAAUAAAAAUACAUACUACAACAUAAUUAUUAGUUACAACAUAAGAAAUUUAAUUGUGAUAAAUUACCAAAAUAUUAAGAAACUUAGACAAAAAUCACAUAAACAUUUUGUGCUCGUUUAUGAAACCUAUUGAUUUUUCUUUUUACAAAUGAGUAUAAAUUCUUGCUUGUUUCUUUACACUUGUGAAUUUAUUUAUUUUAAUAUUUUGUUUCUACAAAUUUCAUGGUUAUCUAUAUCUAUCUAUCUAUAUAUAUAAAGUAAGGCUCUCUCGUGUCCAACUUCGUGAAUGUUUGUUGCUCUCUUGCGUGAUUAUGCUAUUUCAUAGUUUGGGCUAAGUGCAAUCUAAAUAAAUUAUUACAUAGCAUUCAAUUCAACUGAGGCCCGUUUAACUAGGCCCAGUUAUAACUCAAGCUUUGUCCAACACCUAAACCUAACGCCGGAGACGAAUCGAUUUCGCUUCCCCUCCAUCCGCGCAACCGCCGUUACGCUACAGACGUCGCAGUAAUGUCUAUCGAUCAAGUUAACCCACUAAUCACACUACCUCUUCAUCAAUGCAUGGUUUACUUCACCAUCAACCGCAUGAUUGAGCCUAUAUAUACACUGCCUGCGAGCCGAGGUCAAUUCCUAUUCAUUUUCACAAAUCAGAGCUCCUGUACGAUUUCUUCGAUCAUGGCUGCUGGUGUAGAACCAAAGGUGGUUUUGGCGAUCAAAAUUAGCCCUAUGUUGGUUGGAGGUGAACUGCUACGCCAUGUUAAUCUUUUUAAUAUAUAGUCCCGACUCCCGAUCUAACCUUCUACAGGUUCUUAUACUAUGUUUUACAAAUUCUCUCAGCAUCAAACGACUGUCAGUAUAGAAUGUUGAUGAUUCCUGGUUACUUACUGAUUAAUAAGUUAGGUUAGACUUUUUUUUUUUCUUUUUUUUUGGGACCAAGUUAGGAUAGAUUAUAGUUUAAGCAAUCUCUUUUCUUUUAGUUUAAACAAUCUCAUACCAUCAACUACCGAACAUUAGAGAAUGUUGAUGAUUCUUGGCUCUGUAUUAUAUAUAGCUGGGUUCUGCUGAUUAAUAAGUUAUGAUCUCUGUUGUAUGGUCGGUGUAAAUACAAGGUUGGCUCUCUCUCUCUCUCUCUCUCUCUCUCUCAACGCUACCUUCGGCACUCAUUCUACUUUGACAAAGAGUGGCGCAAGCAGUGCUUAACUGCAGAAGGUUUGUGAGAGUAAUGAAGGACCAUAAGAGGCUGCACUGCUGCUGCCAUGGCUGAUGGAGAAAGAUCUACUGUUUAUGAUUCAGUUGAGACCCCUGUUGAUGCCAGUAACACUGGAGAGGAAGAAAUAAAUAAAGAGGAGAGGAGUUCUGCCAAGAAGACACGCAAAGACUAGAUAGUCCAGUGGAUCACUGUUAUGUUGCAUUACAUGUUUUUUUUUUCAAUUUUCACAUUACCAAUAACUACAACCAAUUCUCGGUGAAAACCAUGUUCUGGUUUUUAUAUUUUUAUGUGUAUUUCAAAUUUCAACUAGACUCUGCAUUCUCAAGUUAAUAAAUUUAUUUUCGUUU